UGUUUUGGGUAUUGUGGGUCUCUUCUGGUUCCAUACAGAUUUUAAGUUUGUUUGUUUUAGGUCUGUGAAGAAUGCUGAUGUUAUUUUGACUGGGAUCACCAGAGGAGGAUAUUCUUAAUGAGAGAUAUUUAAAAAUUUGAGUUGAGUUGUAAGAAAUGAAGGUUAGUCAUACUGCUAAUAGGAAAAAAAUUUUUUUUGAGUUCAGAAUUCAUUUCUAGUAUAGAAUCUCUUGGGGCUCUGUUCCCAGAUAUUAGGAUUUAUGUUUCCGACAUGGGCCCCACACAUUGGUAAAUAGUUUUGGGCUAUUGAAUAGCCAUGAGUAAUUGCUACGUAGCUCUCAACCUGCUCAUCUUUUUUAGAGAGAUGACAUGUUUCAAAAAAAAUCCAGAAAACAAAACAAAACCAAAAAAACUGUUCCCUGGCCAAUAACCUCAAGUAAGCCGAUUUGAGGUAAGGAAGAUAACAUUUGGUUCUAAUGUAUCUCCUGCCUGUUCUGUUUUCUUCUACUUGUGCACCAGUGGAGUUUAAUGCUAACACCAUGAGGAUAAAAACCAAAUGCAUACAUUGAAAGUAAACUCAUCCAUGUGUUUCUUAUCUUACCUAGAUUUGUGACAGAAUUUUAACUUAGUAGGUUAAAAAUGGCUGAUGCUGUUCAACUACUGGCUGUUAGACACACACUGCUAUUGAGACCCAGUACCGAAUCAUCUGCCUUUAUUUCCCCUUUUAAAAGGGAAAAAUGCCCUGCUUUGGAGAAUUUGAUUUCAUGAUGCAAAUGCUCCGGUAUGGCUGAAAACUAGCUACCUCCCACAUGACAUCAAUGAACAUGUAGUUGGGCAAAGCUGUGUACAGACUGUUGGGGACGGUACGACCCCACAGCCCCAGCAUACUACUUGUAAUGGAAAAUUGUCAGGGCAAAGAAACAUGCUGUUUACUUCUUCCUUGCCUGGAAUUGAAUUAAAUAUAUUUGGCUAGCUUAAAGUGAUUAAUUUUCCAAAGAUCAACUACAAAGGAAAUUUGGAUGAGAUUCAGGCCACCACAAAGCUGAAAAUUAAACCAAAGGAAACAUACACUAUCUCAUUCAUCGUAGGGAAAAGUAUCCUUCCUUCCUACAUUUUGCUGUAUUGAUUCAAAGCCCUGUGUUGAUUAUUUUUUAUUAGAGUAUCAUGAUUUAAGACAAAGACAAAAAUGCAUAGUUAUUCAUUUGUAGAUGUCUGAUCAUGUAGAGAACAUAGCCCUACAAAGCAAAACUGUUAAUAGCUGCAAAGUCAAGGUGGAUUCCCACUCAGUAUUUGGUUCUGGUGUCAUUAGUGAUGGACACACACACACACACACACACACACACACACAGCAGAGUAUAGCGGGGCUCUCAGUCUGGUCCAGAAUGGCCUGCAGUAGCUUAAAAGAACCAGGAAAGAAAGCUGCUUGGGUUUUGUUUUGUCGUCGUAUUUCUGUGUCCGUGGGCCGGCUGGGAGAAUAGGGCUGGUUUCCUGGCACAUGGUCUCCAGUUCUGCCAGGGCCCAAUCAGGGGGCCUUUUAUCCGCUUUCCCAGCUCUGGGGCAGAAGGUGAAGAAGGCUUAGGUUGAAACGAUGCUGACAAUCAAGCAUCAGAAACAUGGAGCCACACUCUUUGUUAUGAAACAGACAGAUACAAUCUCAUUAUAUAUCACAAACACAUAAGGGAGCAAGGUGGCUUGGAUUGAAAGAGUUGAAAAAUCAUGGGACAUGCUCAUUUUAAUAAAUUUUAAUAAAGGUGACUUCACCUGCUCAGAGUCCCUUGAGGUCACAGGGAAGUGACCAGUUGGCUGCAUUUUAAUCUUCAUGGUGACUGUGUUGAGGAACCUGCUUUAAAAGGAAGGCAUGCUUUGAAAUACUCAAUAAUACUUUUUGACAGUUUUAGAGUUGAAUCAUUCACACUUACCAGUCAUAUAAAUAAAUCCACAAGAGACAUUAACGUCCGUCAAUGAACAAAAACCCAGAUCCCUUUACUUACGAAUACUGUACUCCCAGAACUCUUUUAGGGUCUGUGAUUAUUAAAAAAAGCCUAGGGGUUACAGGUGGAUAAGAUGAACCUUGCUAGUGAGGAGCCCUUAGUCACAUGUGUCAGUCACCGCAGAACAGCAGACCUUGCAAGAUCACUCUCAGCAGAUGUGAUCCUAAAAAGAAAGGAUAAAACCCAAAUGCAUCUAUCGAGGUAAAAUUUGUCACUACAUCUCUUACAUGGAUUUGUGAGUAAAUUGUCAUUUAAUAAAAUAGCUGAAGCACUCCAGUGAGCUGCCCAUUGAGACCAGUGUCAAUGUUUUCUCUCUCCUCCAUCCUCAAAAAUACGCUAUUAACUCCUGUGUGUUAAGCACUCAGAAGAGUGUUUUGCUUGCCUAAAGAGAAAAUUGUCUAUCUCCUUGUCAGAAGAGAAAAACAUCUAUUAUUCGAAUAUCAAACGUUCUAUUUGUUGUUUUCCCCCAUGGAAGGCUGCAAUUUCAAAAAUGCAUUCACACUACUUGAAGACAGGAUUGUUAGAGUGACAAAGCACUGAAUUCAAGUCAUAUGUCAAAGCCAGAUUUUUCUGCUGUCGUCUCCUCUUUCUCUUAAUAAAUUGGAUUUAAAUAAAUAAAGCAGACCACAUGCAGAUAUGUCCAGAAUUUUAUGUUGUUAACGAAUGAAUCGUAUCCUUCAAAAAUUCAUAUUCACCCUGAUCCCCAGAACCUCAGACCUUAUUUGGAAAUAGGAUUGUUGCAGAUGCAGUUGGUUCAGAUGAGGUCUUCCUGGUGUGGGGAAGGCUCCUGACUCAAAUGCCUGGUGUUCUCACACAAAGGGGAACCAGACCCAUACACGGGAAAAUGCCAUGUGUAGGUCAAGGCAGAGAUCUGUGUGGUGCCUCAUCUACGAGACAAGGAACGCCAAAGACUGUCAGCAGGGCACCAGAAGCUAGUCCACCACAGAUCUCAGAAGGAGCCAGCCCCAACAUCUGAUCGCGGACUCUAGACCCCAGAGCUGUAGGGAAGGCAGGUGGGUCUUCAACCACCCGGUCUGUGCGCUUUGUGAUUUCAGCCCUAGAAAGCUCAUACACCUGUACACCACACACAGAUGCCGUCUUUAAAAUCCAUCCAUCCCAUCUCCGAUUGCCUGAUGCUGCAAUUUGUAACUUAAAAAAAGUUGCCGUCUAGCUCAACCACACUUUGACGCCACCAAAGUGAAAUAAAUCAAGACCAAACCAUAUAUACAUAUGAAAAUACAUAUAGUAAUAUAAAUGGUGCUUGUGGGUGAGGGGAUAGCCUUCUUUUUUGUAUAAAAUAAAACUAGAGAGGUAAUGUACAGACGAUUGUGAAAAACGUGUCCUGCUACCCCCUGACGCUGCCUAUGGAAAUACAGCCUAGGAAUCACUACUGAAGAUUUUUAGCAAUACCCAGUGCCUUUGAAUUAGAUGACUUCUGUUGCCUAACACCUAAUUUGAGAAGUUCAUAGUCCUUUGUUUUUAAUUCUACGAGUAUACUAUAUGAAUCUCUUUAAUUAGAAAAUUGUAAGUUUGAAACGCUCUAGUGACAAGUCUUAAUGACACAAUCAGGAGUAUAGAUUACAAACGUGAUUAUGUUGGUUGAGUGUGUUGGUCUGUCAAAGACCCUGAAUCAAUAUUAACAGAGUGGUGGAAAGACAGGUUUCAGGACAAGAUGGAAAAACACUGCUAAAUGGAGAGCACUUCUGUGUAAGAGCGAUUUUGUAUUUUAGAGAGAGCCCCACAAUAAGGUGCCAUGCUAAGGAGAAAAUAUUGACAGGGGACCUUGCCGGAUAUUAAGGAAGCAAAGGUAAAUGUUAAUUAUCAUAUUCCAAGGCCAGUCACACUGUAUAUACCAGGUGAGGAUAAACGGCUGCAGAAGUAUUUGGUUAAAGGCGCUAGUGAUUAUUUUGAGGUUUGUCAGCCAUGAAAUCCACAAAGAUUUAUUGAGCACAUCCUGUUUCCUAGACAUUAGAAACACACAGAUAAACGUGUCUUAAAUUUCCUAGUAAUGCUGAUUUUGAGAGCACUAAAUGACUAGAUUAUAAUUAUAUUAUCUUUUAGAAGUCAAUGCGUAGGAAGAUGAAGCAGCUAAUUUGUUAGAGAACAGCCAUGGUCUUGCCUAUGAGUAGCACAAACAUAUUCCAGCUCAGAAGCAUUUAUUAUCACCCGGUAGUAUUAAAGGACACUGAGUACAUAAAAAUGUAGGAAAUAAUUUUAAACGAAUUGCGCACGAAAUCAGGUUGACUGUAUAUUUAAAAUGCACAUUUAUCGGUCCUGACAGCUGUCAAUCUAACGACUCAUUUUCAUGAAGUAGAGUCUUGUCAGGAUGAUUAGCUGUUGUGCAGGAUGCUGUCAAUCACACGAGUGUGAAGGUCUCAGCUCCUGUUUUCUUGCCUGGUUCCCCGUGCUGCUCGCUGCCACGCAGUAUUGAUUCCACCUUAUUUCUGCGGUGACGAAUAGUGAAAUUAUAAAGACAGAUUUAGGAGUUACUUGGAUCCCAUCCUAUGAAAGUCCUUUAAAAGAACCUGCUAUAUUUCUGAAUGUAUUUCAUUUCAAUAAAAAUUAUAUUAAUCACCAGAUUGCAAAGUUUGUGUUUUGGGGGGUUUCGGAAACUUGGAUAGGUUUUGACAUUGCCUAAUAACCCCCGUAAAUAAAAAGACAACUUAGAAAAGGAAAUGUAUAGAAACUAAAGGCAGUGUUUUAUGAAUCAAAAUAUUUAACUUGAGUGAUAUUACAAUGUGUAUUUUGAUAACAUGGUUUUAAUACAAGGAGUGAGAAAUUUCAUUUUAAUAUAUGUAAGCUUCCCUUCAAUACAUGUACCAUCAUUUAUCUACCCAGUGACUUUCUUCUAAUAUGAAAAUUAGAAUGAUAGUAAGAUAUCUAGGAAGGGAGACACACCUUUACAUAGUGUUAGUAGCUACGGUAAUUGGUUGCAAGGUUUCUAAUUCAAAUGUUUCGGUACAAGUGAUUUGUCUAUCAGAAUUCUGAGGUAUGUACAAUAUCCAUCCGCGUUCUAAUUUUGUUUCUGUUGUUUAAACUCACAAUACCAAAAUCAAAUGUGUCUUUCUGUUGCGUCUGUCUUUCCAUUUCAUUCUAAAUAUUUCUCCAAAAUCAGUCUACUAUACUCUUCAGAGUCCUGCAUUACAUUAUUCUUCUCUUGGGUGCCAGCUACUCCAAAUCUAGACCAAACAUUUAAAAAUAUAUUAAAACCAUGUGGCGGCAGGAGUUAAUGUGCACGAUCCAGCAAAGGUAGAGGCAUUUCAUAAGUACUUAAAGGAGAUCUGUAAUUAAAUAUGAAUUUUGAGUUUAAUUUGUUUAAAGAUACCGCCUCAAAGGUAUGACAAAAGUUGUUCAGUGGAACUCAACUCCUGGCUUUAAUGGGUUUUACAUUUAUUUUGUUAUAUUAAAGGUGAUGUUAAUGAGAAACUACUCCACCAGCCUUUCCAGAGUCUCCACUAUGAGCCAGGCAUACGGCUGCUUUAGGAACAAUAGUUAAGCCAUGGUCAGUGACUCCAACAGCUCCAUUGAUUGGUGAGGUAUUAGAAGAUACGCAUGCAGCUCACCACCCUACAAUAAGUUUUUCAAUAAACACUUCCAAGAAUUGAAAAGAAAGGAGCACUUCCAAACUCAUGUUACGUGACCAGCAUUGUCCUGAUGCCGAACUAGAAAAAUACUUCAAGAGAAGAAAAGUACAUUCCAACAUUCCUGAUGAACGUAGAUGCAAAAAGCCUCAAUAAAAUAUUAACAAACUGAAUUUAGCAGUACCUUGACGGGAUCCUAACACCACAACUGACUGAAAGUUGUCCCUGGGCUGCAAGGACAUUUUAACAUCUCCAAAUCAGUGUGAUGGACCACAGUAAACAGUGUAAAGGAUCAACUUUGCAUGAUCAUCUCAGUAGAUCUAGGAAAGGCAUUUGACUUAGGAGAGAAGAACGGUCUACAAACUGGGUAUAGAAGGAAUGUACUGCAAAAUAAUAAAGGCUGUUUGUGACAAGCCCACAAUGACCAUUCUAUUUGAUGGUAAACACUUUAAGUUUUUCCUCUAGUAUGAAGAACAAGACGAGGAUAACCCCUCUCAUUACCUCUGGUCAGUGUAGUACCGGAUGGCCUCGCCAGAACAGUGAGGCAAGAAAACAGGGAUAAAAUGAAUCCAAAUCAGGAAGGGAGUAAAAUGGCCUCUCUUAGCAGAUGGCAUAUCCUAUAUGUAGAAAAUUCUAGAACCACCCCCCCCAAAAAAAACAGAAGUAAGACACAUAAAUUCAGUCAAGAUACAGAAUACAAGUCAACAUACACAAAUCAGUUGCAUUUCUAUACACCAACAACGAACAAUUGGAAAAGGAAAUUAGGGACACAGUCUCAUCUAUGAUAGCAUCAAAAAGAAUAAAAUAUUUAGGAAUAAGCAUUUGACAAUAGAGUCAAAUGUUACAAUUCCAAGAAGACUUUUGUUAAAUUAUCUUUCUUAACAGUAGCACCUUCUAUUGAAAAUAGUAUAAAUGUAUACACUCUUCCAGGUCUGAGAGCAGAUCUUACUUAUCUCUAUCAAAGAGUAAAUAAAAUAUACAUAAUAAGCUCAGAAAGUAACUUUGGGAUAAAUAGAUGUGGUGGAAGGCAGAUUGCGAAAACAAUUUGGGGGUCGACAGUUUGGUCAAGGGGGGUGUCUUUCCCGGUAUCAGUGGUCUGUUCUUCUCUGUUGUGGGAUAGACUCCACAGUGUGAAUUUGCCCCGGCUCAUGUAACCAUUUGCCUGUGGGAGGGCACCCGGGUGGUGAUCCGUUUUGAAUGUUGCGAAGAAAGCCUCCGUGAACACCUGUGUGCAGGUGUUUGUGUGAACGUAAGUCUUCACUGUAUGGGAGAGAUUGCGGGAGAGCGCAGUUCCUGGGUGACAUGGCGGUUACACGUCUACUUUGGUAGACGUUGCCAGUGUGUUUUCCAGAGGGACACAGCCACGGGCAGUGUGUGAGGGACAUGUUCCUCUGCCUCCUCGGCUUUGCAGGGGUCGCUGUUAUUCCAUUACUUGCAGCCCUUCUAGUGGAUGGGCAGUGACAUCUCUAGUAGAUGGGCGGUGACUCUUCCUUCCCUUAUGGCCAACAGCAUUGACCUCUUCUCAUGUAUGUGUCCUUCCUGGUGAAACACCUGCUCAUGGUUUUGGCUCACUUUGAUUUUUACCGUUGAUUUUUAAGAUAUUUUUAUGUAUUCUGGAUACACCAUAUUUACAGAAAAGGAUAUUUAGGAAAUCUUCAAAGAUUUAUUAAAUUUAUUAUGUAUUGUAAUACUGAUAAUAGUAAAGCAGGGGUUUUGUGGGUAAAUCAAUUCCACAAAUAAAUCUCUGUCAAUUUGGUACAGAACCAUGAAACUUUGGCUUAAAAAAAUCAUCAUCGCUCUUACAUAACGAUCAUUUCUGUUCUGUUUAUUUGGCCCUUUUUUGGUCGUUCAUUUCUUCCACCAAUCUAUUUCUCACUUAAUAAAAGUUUUCCUAGGUGGGGCAUAAUUUUAAGAAGACUUAAGAGAGGCUCAUUCGAUGGCUGACACUGAAAUUUGGGGUCCAAAUCUGAGUUUUCUCAUGUAUCUGGUAGUCUCCCAGUCAAAUAUAGCACAAGUGUUUUGGAUCCUAAGAUAAUGAAUACUAGUAAGAGUCAAUGCUCAAAACUUUAACAUUUUGUUAACUUGUAUCCUGGCUUCUCCUGGAGAUAAAACAAGCCACAAUUAUAAGGUUUGCAUCUGACCAAUUCACAAAUGUAAUAUUACUUGAAGGAGCUUGCUUCUGGCUAUUAAAUUUGUCUAAUUUUCAUGAA